UCCUUAGCAGUCCGCCCCUUCGGGGAGCGGGUUGCUGGCCUCCUAUGUUCCUAACGGUCCUCAUCCGCGAGGGUGGGGAAUCAACCGCUAGGAUCGUUUACUUUGAGGAAAUUAGAGUGUUCAAAGCAGGCGUAACUCGCCUCCGAAUACGUUAGCAUGGGAUAAUGGAAUACGACUUCGGUCUUGUUUCGUUGGUUUCGCUUGGCUGAAGUAAUGAUUGAUAGGGACAGUUGGGGGCAUUAGUAUUUAGUUGUCAGAGGUGAAAUUCUAGGAUUUACUAAAGACUGACCAAUGCGAAAGCAUUUGCCAAGGAUGUUUUCAUUAAUCAAGAACGAAAGUAGGGGGAUCGAAGACGAUCAGAUACCGUCGUAGUCUCUACCGUAAACUAUGCCGACCAGGGAUCCGGAGAGUUUGCAUGGAUGACUCCCCGGGCACCUUGUGAGAAAUCAUAAGUGUUUGGGUUUUGGGGGGAGUAUGGUC
rnacentral:rRNA from 1 species